GAUGAACGCUAGCGGCAGGCUUAAUACAUGCAAGUCGAGGGGCAUCGCGGGUAGCAAUACCUGGCGGCGACCGGCGCACGGGUGCGUAACGCGUAUGUAAUCUACCUUUAACCGGGGAAUAGCCCAGAGAAAUCUGGAUUAAUGCCCUAUAGUAUUAUUGGAAGGCAUCUUUCGAUAAUUAAAGCUCCGGCGGUUUUAGAUGAACAUGCGUGUCAUUAGUUAGUUGGCGAAGUAACGGCUCACCAAGACUACGAUGACUAGGGGGUCUGAGAGGAUGAUCCCCCACACUGGUACUGAGACACGGACCAGACUCCUACGGGAGGCAGCAGUAAGGAAUAUUGGGCAAUGGAGGCAACUCUGACCCAGCCAUGCCGCGUGAAGGAUGACGGCCCUCGUGGUUGUAAACUUCUUUUGUACGGGAAUAACCCUCCGAACGUGUUCGGAGCUGAAGGUACCGUAAGAAUAAGGAUCGGCUAACUCCGUGCCAGCCGCCGCCGUAAUAC
rnacentral:rRNA from 1 species